GGCGAUCAGAUACCGCCCUAGUUCUGACCGUAAACGAUGCCAACUAGCGAUCCGCCAGUCGACUCAUCGCUCUGGUGGGGAGCUUCCCGGAAACGAAAGUCUUCCGGUUCCGGGGGAAGUAUGGUUGCAAAGCUGAAACUUAAAGGAAUUGACGGAAGGGCACCACCAGGAGUGGAGCCUGCGGCUUAAUUUGACUCAACACGGGGAAACUCACCCGGCCCGGACACCGUAAGGAUUGACAGAUUGAUAGCUUUUUCAUGAUUCGGUGGAUGGUGGUGCAUGGCCGUUCUUAGUUCGUGGAGCGAUUUGUCUGGUUUAUUCCGAUAACGAGCGAGACUCUGGCCUACUAAAUAGUUGGCACAUUGCCACUGUGUGCACAACUUCUUAGAGGGAUUUUCGGUGUUCAGCCGCACGAAAUUGAGCAAUAACAGGUCUGUGAUGCCCUUAGAUGUCCGGGGCUGCACGCGCGCUACACUGGCAAAAUCAGCGUGCUUGUCCUCCCCCGAAAGGGGUUGGUAAACCGAUGAAAAUUUGCCGUGAUUGGGAUCGGACAUUGCAAUUAUUGUCCGUGAACGAGGAAUCCCUUGUAAGGGCGAGUCAUCAACUCGUCCUGAAUACGUCCCUGCCC
rnacentral:rRNA from 1 species